UGGUAGAGGAGCAUUGUUAGCGCAGCGAAGCUGUACCGAUAAGGAGCAGUGGAGUGCUAAGAAGAGAGAAUGCCGGAAUGAGUAGCGAGAGGAAGGUGAGAAUCCUUCCGGCCGAAUAUCCAAGGUUUCCAGAGUAAAGCUGAUCUGCUCUGGGUAAGUCGGGGCCUAAGGCGAGGUCGAAAGACGUAGUCGAUGGAUAACAGGUGGAGAUUCCUGUACUAUGUGUACCCAGAACUGUGGGGACGCAUGUGGAGAGCAUGAGCCGGGAAAGAGAAAACCGGUACAAGCGGGGUAGGAGUAAGGACAGCAAAUCUUCCUUACAAUCCGAAGACGUGAUGUGGACCGAACCAAAGUAGGGAAGCAUGUGAGCCAUGUGCCAAGAAAAGCCGCUAUUGUGAUACACAUACCCGUACCGUAAACCGACACAGGUGGAUGAGGAGAGAAUCCUAAGGCCGACGGAAGAAGCAUUGUUAAGGAACUCGGCAAAAUGACCCCGUAACUUCGGGAGAAGGGGUGCCCUGUGAAAGCAGGGCCGCAGAGAAUAGGCUCAAGCAACUGUUUAGCAAAAACACAGGUCUAUGCGAAACCGAAAGGUGAGGUAUAUGGGCUGACGCCUGCCCGGUGCUGGAAGGUUAAGAGGAGAAGUCAGGCAACGAAGCUUCGAAUUUAAGCCCCAGUAAACGGCGGCCGUAACUAUAACGGUCCUAAGGUAGCGAAAUUCCUUGUCGGGUAAGUUCCGACCCGCACGAAAGGCGUAAUGAUUUGAGCACUGUCUCGACAAUGCAUCCGGUGAAAUUGAAGUACCAGUGAAGAUGCUGGUUACCUGCGCCAGGACGGAAAGACCCCAUGGAGCUUUACUCCAGCUUGAUACUGGGAUUCGAUACUGUAUGUACAGGAUAGGUGGGAGACGUUGAACAUAGAACGCCAGUUUUAUGUGAGUCGCUGUUGGGAUACCACCCUUGCAGUAUUGGAUUUCUAACCUGCACCCAUGACCUGGGUGGGGGACAAUGUCUGGCGGGGAGUUUGACUGGGGCGGUCGCCUCCGAAAGGGUAUCGGAGGCGCUCAAAGGUUCCCUCAGAAUGGUUGGAAACCAUUCGAAGAGUGCAAAGGCAGAAGGGAGCUUGACUGUGACACCGACGGGUGGAACAGGUACGAAAGUAGGACUUAGUGAUCCGGUGGUAUAAAGUGGGAUUGCCAUCGCUCAACGGAUAAAAGCUACCCUGGGGAUAACAGGCUUAUCACUCCCAAGAGUUCACAUCGACGGAGUGGUUUGGCACCUCGAUGUCGGCUCAUCGCAUCCUGGGGCUGUAGCAGGUCCCAAGGGUUGGGCUGUUCGCCCAUUAAAGCGGUACGCGAGCUGGGUUCAGAACGUCGUGAGACAGUUCGGUCCCUAUCCGGCGCAGGCGGAGGAUAUUUGAGAGGAGCUGUCCUUAGUACGAGAGGACCGGGAUGGACGGACCACUGGUGUAUCUGUUGGCUAUCAGAGCCAUGGCAGAGUAGCCAAGUCCGGCAGGGAUAAACGCUGAAGGCAUCUAAGCGUGAAGCCCCCCUCAAGAUGAGAUAUCCCUCAGAAAUGAGUAAGACCCCUUGAAGACUACGAGGUAGAUAGGAAUGAGGUGUAAGCACAGCAAUGUGUUCAGCUGACAUUUACUAAUCGGUCGAGGGCUUGACCAA
rnacentral:rRNA from 1 species